UUCUGCAGCCAUGGAGAAUGAGGUGCAGUAACCAGCAAUCAGAUGUGAUUGCACAAAAACACAAAUAGCAGCUUGUUCCUGAGGCUUGGCUCUUCUCUUACACCAUCACACUGUGCUGGACUUCAUGAACAAAGCACUUGAGGGAGAUCUGACAUAAAAGGAUAUUUCUUACAAGUGGUGACCAACUUAGGGCCAAAAGUGAAAUUUAUCCAUAAAUUGGAGGGACAAACAAUAGGAUGUAGUGUCUGAUAAACCAGCUGGCUGCCAUUAUAGGUGAAAUUUCAUUAAAAGGUAUAAAGCAAAGCUCAUUACCUGUUCCCCAGGCAGAGCACAGGCACAGCUGCUACAGCAGCACAGAAGUGAAUAACAACCCAGAGGAGAAGCCUGCUGUUUGCACACAGGGCUGGGAGCCCUUCACAACUGGGAACUGCACAGCACGGGUUUAGGCAAUGGAAGAGAGGAAAUAAAGCCAAUGGAGAAUUAAGGAUGUCUCAUCCUUUGAAGAUCUGAAGAAAAUGUUAAAGAUCUCUAACAGCAAAAACACUGAUCUUCAGAAGCAGCUUGAGGUAGGAAUAAAAGUCCUACCAGAAGGGCUCAGCACUCUCCAGAGAAGGCAAUAAACUUUCCUGGGGUGUGGAAAUCUGCAUUCUUUCAACUGCCUCAGAAAUGCUUUAUGAAGACACCACCUCAGUUUGGUCCUUUGGGAUUGUCUGGAGCCUCUUUGCUUUUAUCAGCCAGUUACUGUCACUAGGAGAGCAACUUUACCCUUGAACACUUUUGCAAACAAAGUGUGCUGAAGUGUGGCUGUACCACAGCUGCAGCACGGCUUGGGGUGUGCAGCCACUGCAGAUGAAGAUGUGACCAUGGUGUGGAGAUGCCUGCUCAGUGUUUGGUUGUGGCCUUUGUAUCUGGCUCAGGGAUUAAGUUCUGUCUUGAGUUUGCUUUAAAUGAAAGGAACCUUGGCAUCACUUCAGCAUCACUGUUAGCCACAAGGAGAUGGAGGAUGUACAGAUGAGGACCACAAAUCUGCACCAUAAAAGGGAACUAAAGGCACCAUAAUGCACAGUGAGCUUCUGGAGUUCACAGCUGUACAACACCACCUAAGCCAUCAACUUGGCAAGAUUUUAAACUGGCCUUUUAUACACGUGCAGGAUUCUUCAGAGCCGCAGCAUGAAGUGUGGAAAAGAUGAAUUUGGCAAACAGCACAAACACCAUAGCCUCAGGUCAGCAGGCAGUGGUUCAUGAGGGAACACUUCCCUGCAGCAGGUGGGGAAGGAGAGCUCUGCCCCAUCCCUGUGGGACCCCAGGGCAAGGCUGCAGCCUGGGCCAUCCUGCAGGAGCACCCCCAUGCUGUGACCUCCUCCUCCCUCCAGCAGUUUGUUAUUGUGCCAACAGCUGGGACAGCCGCUGAAUUUCUGUAGUAUUUCUGUCUGAAUCCCUCUGAUUUACACUGCCUGAUGGUAAGGAGUGCAUCCCUGGGUAGAGAUGUGAUAAAAAUAUCAAGAGCUCCAAGAGAGAAGGGGUUUAGUGGGUAUGUGCUAUAUGUCACAGGUUUGUCAUCGCUUCUGAGCUGUGCUGUGCUUGGGUUGAACUGUGAAAAGCUGAAUAAUUUAU